rnacentral:other from 1 species
CGAAUCCUAAAUUGUUUGCGGAUACAAAAUAUCAAUUUUGACCGAACAAUACGAUGUCGGGAGCUUAAAUUUCUACUAGGCAAACAAGCCCGCAUUUAAGCCGGGACGUUUAAUGAGUAGAUGAGGGCACCCCCUUUGGUAAGCACCGGGUUCAAAAGACCUUUGCAGGAAUGCGGCAAUUUGGGAUUUGU